rnacentral:rRNA from 1 species
UACGGGGGGUGCGAGCGUUGUCCGGAUCCACUGGGCGUAAAGGGCGCGUAGGCGGCUGACUCAGUCUGGUCUAUAAGGUGUGGGCUUACCCCGCACACGGAUUGGGGACGGGUUGGCUGGGGGUCGGUCGAGGGAAGCGGAAUGCCGGGUGUAGUGGUGAAAUGCGUAGAGAUCCGGCGGAACACCGGUGGUGAAGGCGGCUUCCUUGGCCGAACCCGACGCUGAGGCGCGAGAGCGCGGGGAGCAAACGGG